rnacentral:lncRNA from 1 species
CCUCUUUUAACCGACAUCGAUCAGUGACAUGUUUAAGUUCAGCCUACCCAGCAAUUUUAUUGAAUUUGUCCAUUAUUUUCAAUCACAAUGUAUGCUGCCAAAUACACCACACAAAUUAUCAAUGUCAUGUGGCCAGUAUUAAAAACAGACAAAUUCUCGGUAUUCUUGAGGUUUUACCCCAAACAUUUCAACAUUCGAUACUUGUCUAAAUUGUCUACAUAAACGUCGAAUCCUUAAUAUUUCUUACCUGUGCUUAUCUUCCUUUAAAUUUUAGUGUAAAAUUUACCUACAUUACGACAUACAUCUCGACACACAUUACCUAAAAAGUAGCACGAUCAAGCGAUGGCGAUGUCGCUCGUUCUUCGGUGGUUUCACUCUCACCGCUCUCACUGAGUCACUGCGACGUUAAUUU